GGCUACAGAACGAACGCUGGCGGCAUGCCUAACACAUGCAAGUCGAACGAGACCUUCGGGUCUAGUGGCGCACGGGUGCGUAACACGUGGGAAUUUGCCUCGGGGUAUGGAAUAACUCAGGGAAACUUGAGCUAAUACCGGAUAAUGUCUUCGGACCAAAGAUUUAUCGCCUUUAGAUGGGCCCGCGUUGGAUUAGCUAGUUGGUGGGGUAAAGGCCUACCAAGGCGACGAUCCAUAGCUGGUCUGAGAGGAUGAUCAGCCACACUGGGGCUGAGACACGGCCCAGACUCCUACGGGAGGCAGCAGUGGGGAAUAUUGGACAAUGGGCGAAAGCCUGAUCCAGCAAUGCCGCGUGAGUGAUGAAGGCCUUAGGGUUGUAAAGCUCUUUUACCCGAGAUGAUAAUGACAGUAUCGGGAGAAUAAGCUCCGGCUAACUCCGUG
rnacentral:rRNA from 1 species